rnacentral:rRNA from 1 species
AGCGAACGCUGGCGGCAGGCCUAAUACAUGCAAGUCGAACGAACUCUUCGGAGUUAGUGGCGGACGGGUGAGUAACACGUGGGAACGUGCCUUUAGGUUCGGAAUAACUCAGGGAAACUUGUGCUAAUACCGAAUGUGCCCUUCGGGGGAAAGAUUUAUCGCCUUUAGAGCGGCCCGCGUCUGAUUAGCUAGUUGGUGAGGUAACGGCGAACCAAGGCUACGAUCAGUAGCUGGUCUGAGAGGAUGGCCAGCCACACUGGGACUGAGACACGGCCCAGACUCCUACGGGAGGCAGCAGUGGGGAAUCUUGCGCAAUGGGCGAAAGCCUGACGCAGCCAUGCCGCGUGAAUGAUGAAGGUCUUAGGAUUGUAAAAUUCUUUCACCGGGGACGAUAAUGACGGUACCCGGAGAAGAAGCCCCGGCUAACUUCGUGCCAGCCGCCGCCGUAA